rnacentral:lncRNA from 11 species
GGAAGUUUCCCGGAAGUCGGCUCCGAGAAGCCAAGGCUCGUGGCGAUCCGGGAUGAUGGGAGUUGUUGCCCAAAAACAAUUGUGGUAUAUUGCAUUCGUAUUAACACACAACUUGCGUGGCAGAAAUCGGUCACUACUCGUUUUUUUCGUCUGUGUUCUAGGGUCGAGGAGCUGAACUGGGCGGACUGGAAGAAAGAGUUGGGCGUCCUGAAAGAAGACCCGGCGGAUUCUGGGUUUUCGAGUGAAAAAAAGGACAGCGUUUGGAGCUGGAUGUCGUCCCUGACCGAGACGCGGCACGCGACGUCCGAGGAGGAAGACGGAAACGAGGAAAUCCCGUUGCACGAGAUUAGUCAUUGAGAGAGCAAUACCAUAUCUAGACGACUUACUUAUGGUUUCCUCUCAAUCAAUCAAUGAUCCAACCGCAACAAGAAGGAAAAUCACUAUCGUUAUAUUGGCAGAAUCUCCUACGAAUAAAACAAAACAAUCACCACAACGUUUUGUUUCCUGCGUCGUCCACUUGGAUGUUUGAUCAGAUUUGGGUCUGGGUCACACUCG